CUGAGAGAACAAGCAGGUCUGAGAUCAGAUCUGCUGCUGUUUGAUGAAUGAGGACCACUGUCUCUAGACAUGUUGGACGGCUGGAGUCCAGCUGGACGUCCCGGAGACAUGGACAUGUAACCCACAUAAAGUGGGGAUAGCCUUUUGGGAAAUAGAGAUUGGGUAGGCGGGGUAGUCUGCCUGGCCAAUGGGAAGUUUGAUUCCCAUGAAUGUUUGGACCAAUCAGAGAGCGGAAUGCCACAGAGGCUCCACCUUCUUUCCCGUGUUGGCAGCAUUGAUUGUGAGCGGGAGAUCCGACCCUGAUCAGACAGCUGAGCCAGAAACCACUAAGAUCAGUUGGAACUGUUGCACUUUCUGGCAGUUGAUUGGCAGUUGUUUUCAGUUCAACUGAAGUGCCCUCCGUGUCUGGAAUGAGAGUCCCUGUCUAGUUGUUUU